UCAAUUAGGGCUUCAUUAUUAUCUUUCUUCCCCAUUCAACCUAGCCGUCUACGCUUAUCUUAAUCUGCAAACCUAAUGAUUUGCAAACGGAAAGGUCGAUAUCGCCGUCUCCGUACCCAACCUUUAACCCUCUCUUUCCCACCUCUUCCGGCGUCCCGAUGUCGUCCGGGAAUCCACUGCUCUGUUUCGGCCGGUGAGACCACAAAACGAUAUAUGGAGGAUGUCCCGGACAUAUCAUGGGGCUGCGAGAUAUAUUCAGUCGAGAACGCAACUUCUCUGCAGAGAUGGCUCUCCGAUUCAGGCCUUCCCCGCAGAACUUCGGUAGCAAAAGUUCAUGCUACGGAAGUUUGACCAUCUCCAAGCUCAAGCAAACACUGGCAUAUUCGUUCAGUCCAAGGUUCUGACCUUAAGGACGCUGAAGCUAUGACCCGAGUUGUGGUCCGUUUCAUUAUUGAACCAAUUCUGUGAUCCAUGGCAAGGAAGCCGGUAUUGCCAAUCACUACUGUCCAUCACUGCAGAAUUCCGUGAUGCAACAGGAAGUUGGAGAAAUCUUGAUUUCCCUCCUGUGCAACAAAUGUGUAACUCCCCACGUCACCAGUGUUAUCAGGUUCUGGGUUGAACUUGCCGUGGAUGAUGGAAAAGAUAGCGCUAUGUUUGUAGUCUUUGAUAGGGAGAUGACAAAGCUGACCAAGCAAGAAGCUGUUGUUCUUGCGCUUGAGGAGAUACCAAACGGUGGAGAUGAGGAGCUACCAAGCUGCCUUGGAGAGCUUGCUAGGAAGGAGUUUUUUUCAAAUUCGUGUCACACUUUUCAAUUUCACCGUACCUUCACUGUAUGAUCAACUAUCACUGAAGAUCUCAUCAUUGACAAUCAGGCUGUGAAAGUCACCAACAAAUUGCUUCAACUCAGUUAUGGGGAAGGUGGAUUGUCAAGAGCAUCAUCCAGCGAGGCUGUUGUUGCGGCGAAGCUAGUCAUGGGUGGUGACACAGCAACCCCACCAGGGAUUGAGGAAGUGGAGAAAACGUGCAUGAGCCGCCGUGAGUAAAAAGACCGUAUUAAUUCAAUCAGCCCGUCAACUCCACUUUCAUUCUACCGUUUUUAAAAUGACUCUCUGUUUCGCUACCUUGAAGCUUUGCUUUUGUUAUGAAUUUUCUGCAACUAUUUAUCAUUUUGUCUUUGUCUUGAAGC